UACGUAGGGGGCAAGCGUUGUCCGGAAUUAUUGGGCGUAAAGAGCGUGUAGGCGGCCAGAUAAGUCCGCUGUGAAAUCUCGAGGCUCAACUUCGAGCUGUCGGUGGAAACUAUCUGGCUAGAGUCCGGAAGAGGAGAAUGGAAUUCCUGGUGUAGCGGUGAAAUGCGCAGAUAUCAGGAGGAACACCUAUUGCGAAGGCAGCUCGCUGGGACGUAACUGACGCUGAGACGCGAAAGCGUGGGGAGCAAACAGG
rnacentral:rRNA from 1 species